CGGCGAGUGAGCGGCAAAAGCUCAAAUUUGAAAUCUGGCGUCUUUGGCGUCCGAGUUGUAAUUUGAAGAAGGUAUCUUUGGGCCCGGCUCUUGUCUAUGUUCCUUGGAACAGGACGUCACAGAGGGUGAGAAUCCCGUGCGAUGAGAUGACCCGGGUCUGUGUAAAGUUCCUUCGACGAGUCGAGUUGUUUGGGAAUGCAGCUCUAAGUGGGUGGUAAAUUCCAUCUAAAGCUAAAUAUUGGCGAGAGACCGAUAGCGAACAAGUACAGUGAUGGAAAGAUGAAAAGAACUUUGAAAAGAGAGUGAAAAAGUACGUGAAAUUGUUGAAAGGGAAGGGCUUGAGAUCAGACUUGGUAUUUUGCAUGCUGCUCUCUCGGGGGCGGCCGCUGCGGUUUACCGGGCCAGCAUCGGUUUGGAGCGGCAGGAUAAUGGCGGAGGAAUGUGGCACGGCUUCUGCUGUGUGUUAUAGCCUCUGACGAUACUGCCAGCCUAGACCGAGGACUGCGGUUUUUACCUAGGAUGUUGGCAUAAUGAUCUUAAGUCGCCCGUCUU
rnacentral:rRNA from 1 species